rnacentral:rRNA from 1 species
UUAAAUUGAAGAGUUUGAUCAUGGCUCAGAUUGAACGCUGGCGGCAGGCCUAACACAUGCAAGUCGAACGGUAACAGGAAGAAGCUUGCUUCUUUGCUGACGAGUGGCGGACGGGUGAGUAAUGUCUGGGAAACUGCCUGAUGGAGGGGGAUAACUACUGGAAACGGUAGCUAAUACCGCAUAACGUCGCAAGACCAAAGAGGGGGACCUUCGGGCCUCUUGCCAUCGGAUGUGCCCAGAUGGGAUUAGCUUG